GACGAACGCUGGCGGCGUGCUUAACACAUGCAAGUCGAGCGGUAAGGCCCCUUCGGGGGUACACGAGCGGCGAACGGGUGAGUAACACGUGGGUGACCUGCCCUCAGCUCUGGGAUAAGCCUGGGAAACUGGGUCUAAUACCGGAUAUGACUCCAUGACGCAUGUCGUGGGGUGGAAAGCCUUGUGCGGCUGGGGGAUGGGCCCGCGGCCUAUCAGCUUGUUGGUGGGGUGAUGGCCUACCAAGGCGACGACGGGUAGCCGGCCUGAGAGGGCGACCGGCCACACUGGGGACUGAGACACGGCCCAGAUUCCUACGGGAGGCAGCAGUGGGGAAUCUUGCGCAAUGGGCGAAAGCCUGACGCAGCGACGCCGCGUGAGGGAUGACGGCCU
rnacentral:rRNA from 1 species